UUCUUCUCCAAAGAGAGGAGGCGAGCUCUCGAAGUCCGCCGCGAACAGGUCGAUCUCGUCGUGAGCCUCAUCGAGAAGCGACGGAGAGCGAUUCGGAAUAAAACGGCGCCGUCUUUCUCUUACCUCGACACGCUCUUCGAUCUAAAAGUCGAGGGACGCGAAACGGCGCCGUCUAACGAAGAGAUCGUGACUCUCUGCUCGGAGUUUCUCAACGGGGGAACGGACACGACGGGGACGGCGAUCGAGUGGGGGAUCGCGCAGCUGAUCGCGAACCCCGAGAUUCAAUCUCGGCUCUACGAUGAGAUUAGAUCGACGGCUGGAGAUCGUCGGAUCGAGGAGGGUGACGUGGAUAAAAUGGCCUUUUUGCAAGCGUUCGUUAAAGAGCUUCUCCGGAAACAUCCUCCGACUUAUUUCUCGCUGACGCACGCGGUCAUGGAAACGACGUCGCUUGGAGGUUACGAUGUUCCCGCGGGCGUUAACGUCGAGGUUUAUAUUCCCGGUAUAAGCGAGGACCCGAGGAUCUGGUCUAAUCCGAAAAAGUUUGAUCCGGACCGGUUUAUAUCGGGUAAGGAGGAUGCUGACAUAACCGGGAUCAGUGGAGUGAAGAUGAUUCCGUUUGGUGUUGGCCGUCGGAUCUGUCCUGGGCUUGGAAUGGCGACCGUACACGUGCACCUCAUGCUUGCGAGGAUGGUUCAAGAGUUUGAGUGGACCGCUUAUCCGACCGGAAGCGAGAUUGAUUUCGCCGGUAAAACGGAGUUCACGGUGGUGAUGAAGAAUCCAUUGAGAGCCAAGGUUAAACCAAGGGUUUAAUUUUUUUAAAUUAUCUAUUUUCACGUAUUUUAAUUUUAUCUUUGUAUUAUAAAUUUUCUAAUUAUCCAAUAAUCAUUUUGGUUACAAGAAGCUUCUGUUAAAAAUAUUUAAAUAACAAACUUAUGAUCUAAGAGAUUGAUUAAUACUAGUUGAUACUUGAUAGUUUAACCCAUUUACAAUCAUUUAAAUUUUUUAAUAAUCUUAGAAGCUUCCGUUAAAUAUAUUUAACUAAGAAAACUUAAGAUAAGCAUUGAUUAAUAAUAUUAGUUAUAUAUCAAAAAAAACUUCCAAAGGAAAAAAUAUUCUAAACCCAUUUACAAAUCCCUAGCGUAGAGAAACUAUAUAUACACAUAAGCAGAAGCUACAGAGACUAUUAUGCUUCAAAAAGAAGCAAGCCUUUUUAAUUCAAUCCAAGUAAGCUUGUUUAAUUUUCUGUCAUUACCAAAUAUUAUCAGUUCAAGAAAAGGGAUGCAUCAGCCACCUCGCCGCUUGAAUCAGCUACUACUUUCACGGCUUGUGCAAUCCUACGAGCCAGCAUGGCUUUGUAAACAGCCAAAUCUGCAUUCUCUGCAAGAACCUGAGCUCUUCUUCUUUUGGCCAUGGCAAUCUCCAUAGAUGUAUCAGCCCAGGCUUUGGCUUUUUCCACUCUAAGAAAAACGUUUUGUCCCUCCCAAGCUUCCAGUUUAGCCGCCUUUACAGACACUGUCCAAGUUAAACGGUCCACACAAAUUCAGAUCUCCUUCUCAAUAAAUGUUCUAAGCAAGAUUGUUCCAUGUAACUCUAAUAACUCUCAGGUGUAUAUACUAUUCAUCAUUUUAAGUACUUAGCAAAACCAAUUUAUCACAACACUAUCCACCACAAUCCAUGACAAAACAUAUAGGAACAUACCGAGACUUGAUUGUUUGGAUUUUCCAUGGAGUUGACUCCCCUGUCUCUUGAAAGACCUUCUCUUACGAAAUACAGGUUUGAAAAAUAGCGGAGUCUUCUUCGCUUGAUGACCCUGUUUACAUAACAAACAUAACUUUUGUAACACUGAUGGAAAAACAAAGAACACUGGUCUAAGUAUAUACAAGAACAUGACUCUUACCUGGAAAAUUCUGAGGAGUGGUGCUUUUCUCUGCUUCCUUUUCCUCGCCCAGUAAUCAUACACCGCUUCAACCACAUCUUGCCUACCCAAAUACGAAAGACUAGCUACACUAGCUGCUUUCUCAUCCAAGAGAUCAUCGGCAGGGUUACGGAAGUAGUACUUUUCAAACCCAUCAAUCAUCAGUUCAAAAGUAUCUUGAUGAAGUUGUUGAGACGACUUCUCAUCUUCUCCACCAAGCAUUGCCUCGUUCUGCCUCUCCAGCCACUCUUCAUCCUCAGAAUCCAUGUCAUAGAUGGCAGUGCUUCGAGCCAUGGCCCUUGAAACCUCAUCUUCUUUCACAGAUAUAUAUGGAACCGGCAUAGAAAAUGAAGGCAAAGCAUCAAUAUUCUCUGCAUAGCCACACACUUCUGUUACUCCAGGUAUAGGAAUGACUUUCGCACUCUGUUCCAACACAUUCCUUUCGUAGCACUCUUUAUAAAUCUCCUUGAAACCGAGCCAAUCUCGUCUCUCGCAAAACUCAAGCUUCCAACCAUUAUCCCCUACCCACACUACAGAAUGUGUGAACCUGUUGCACGAGCAAGGUCUCAUAGUCUUCCGCGCCUUGAGUUUGUAUCUGAUUUCCCCAUCCUUCUUGAUAACAACGAACCACUCCUUUGAAGAAACGAACUCCAACACGGCACUGAAACCUUCUUCUCUGGUGCAUCUGUCUGAACCCAAAACCAAAAUAUUCACAGAACAACGUAGAGAAUCAAGCUCCUCUUUUGUCAACGGUUUUGGAACGACACUAAUCUCGUUUGAGUUGUUUAGCACCGAGCUUCUAAGCCUUCUCGUAGAUACUGCUGCUGCUGAUGUCCUGUUUCUCCAUGAUAAUUCGAAAACAGACGUUCCAUUGUACAACUUGUGUCCACUGUGAGCAAGGUUCCUCACUCUUCUCCUCCUUAAGGAUCUUCUCCUCUUCUGGAUACUGUGAAACCCUAAAUUGCCUCUAUACUGAGCAUUAGAGCCUCUCCUCGGAUUACAAGGUGGAGAUGAAACUAACUCAGACUCUGAAUCAGUUUCUUCAACAACUGGAUUGUUUAGCAAAUAAAGAGAUCUCCUCACGAAAGCAAAGGAGCGUUGCGCAUCUCUGAGAAACAGAGUCAAAUGCAUAUCCAUGAAAAAUCGAGGAAUGGCAGCAAAAUCAGCUGACAAGAGAGGAAGACAAUCCACGCCCCCAAAGAACUUGCAUACACCCCUUGAGCUAAGGGAAGUAGGCUCCUGAAACAUUAAAGAUCCUAACUUUAUAUCAUCACUACCAACAUAAACACUAAAGAUCCUAACUUUAUAUCAACAUGCUAUUAACUUAGUUACUUACCUCAAGAAACCUCACGCCAUGAUCUGCAAAGUCGUCGUUGAUAGGUUGAGAUAAGAAGAAAGACGCAAGCGUACGCAAGCUCAGCUCUUCCCUCCUCAAGUACCUCAUCACCAAACCAAAAACAGUCGACAACCAGCAAUCCCCACAAGACCAAUCUACUGUAAGAGCAAUCACAGGACCACAAAGUCGUCUUGUCCGCCUGCGAUAAAACUUGAGGUCUGAACUACCACCACUUGAUUGGUCACAAAGUCUCUUCCUUUUUCUAUUAUAUACAAUCCCAAACUUAGUAUCAACACUCUUCCCAUCUCCGACAGCUUCAGUUCUCACUCUCCUCCGUUUCACGACGGUAAAGUCUUCUCCUUUGUCGUGUUGUUGCUUCUCAGCGAAGACUUUGCCCCCUUUGCAGUCCCAAUCUGGAUCCACAGCGUCAUGGGCCCGCUUGGCCUUGGGCUCGUCGUUAUUGGGCCAAAUCCGGCGACCCGAGCGGAGGACCCGAGCUCCGUCCGCGGCUUUAACCACCCCGAAUACCCUCGUGGUGCGUCUCAUACCCACUGAAGGCAUCUAAACGACAGCGUUUCACUCAAAUAGGCUCUGACUUGUUGUUACUCGGUCGAUCUAUCUUCUCGGAGGACCCCGAAUCCGAUUUCGAAUCGAGUAGAUCUACGGAGAUCGAAGAAAGUUUGAGAAACUCGAUCGAGAUCUGUUCAUGGGUCGUUGAUUCAAGAAUCAAGUAGACAUGGUGGAGAGAUGAGGAAGUUUUGAGAAGUUUCUCGUUUGGAGAAGGAAGAGAGGGAACUGAGGAGGCUGCUAUCUAGGGUUUAUGAUCGAAGGAGAUUAUCAUUUCGAGGGGUAGAUUGGGUCGUGGCCGUUGGAUGAUUGAAACGACGGUUCGGAUUGAUUCGGCUUCGGUGGGUCCCGGAAGGCUAUAUUUAUUUGUUUUUUGCAUACGUAGGCGGCGUAUUUUUUGGGUUUACACGAAUAUCUAAAACAAUUGAAUUUAAAACGGAGUGGGCCGAAAAUUUCAAAAGGCAAGAUGUUAAUUGACAGAACUACCCUUGUCUUUAAAGCGGAAGGUGUCGGAACUACACUUGUUUAAGACGACACUGAGAUGUGAGAAGAAGAGGAGGAUUACAAGACCAAACACAAUGUCUAUUUUAAAAAGCAAAAGGGUUGUUUAGAGAUUAGAUUUAUUGACUUUGUAUUACAUAUGAUUUCUAUUUUAUUUGGGAAUCUCUGCUAAAACAGAGUUAUUAUAACAUGUAGGAUGCUUUUAUUGCUUGUUAUAUUUAGGCCUUGGCGGUUUCAGCCUCAUCAGCUCCCCAGAAACUUGUUUUCUUUCCUGUCUUUGAGACUGUCUGAAGAACAGCUUCUGGCUCCACGUUGCCUUUCACUGUUACCUUCUGUUCUUUCAGAUCCACAUCAAAUGACUCCACACCUACCAAUACAAUAUUCGUUGUUUGUUUUGUUUACACAUAAAAAUCAAUGAGAUGAGAAAGCAAAUAUAUACAACCAUAAAUAAGAUAUAUGCAAAUUAAUGAAACCAGAGAGUUUGUAACAUAAUGCAAAGUUAUCUGAGACUAACCUUGCAUUUUGCCUAAGACUCUCUUCACAGCUCCCACGCAUCCCUCACAUGGCAUAGCCACCUUUAGAACCACAGUCUACUCGGGUAACGUACCCAAAAAAAAAAUUUGAAGUUAAAAUUCUGGAAAGAUUUAUCAAAGUGGAUUUGUCAAGAUGUAAAAGAAUCUUGAAACACUGUCCCGUUAAUUGCUUUGAAACACCAUGUCCUAAUCAAAUUCCUCAAAUCAUCUCACAGAAACAAACUACUUCCUCCAUACAAAAAAAAAAAAUCAGCUAGAUUGACCUAGACAAAGACAGAUCAACCCUUUUCAACAACAAUUUUACAUGAUUCAUGGUCUUAUAUGAUCCUUGCCAUCAUCACCAGUUUGAUAAAAUGGGAAACUACUGACACCAAUGUUUUUAAUAUAUUUAACUACAGAUCUCUCGCUGAACUGAUUCAUACAUCAUAAAACCAGAUUACAAAGCAUCAACAAACCAUAACUCAAACCAAAGUCAGAUUCAAGUACCUGAGACAUACUUAAAAAUAAAUAAAAAAGUACCUGAGACAUAUUUCUUCUCUUUUUCCUUCCUAUAUGUAAAAGUUUCAACCACAGCGGAGAAAAUUUUGUAAAAGAAAAGAGAUGCUUCUGGAGCUUUUUAAACGAAUGCAGCUUUGACCAAUUCAACGAAUAUAUUCUUAGCUUUUUUUUUCCAUUGUGAGGUCACCCGAAGAUAUUCUUAUUUAAUCAAAUCAUACUAGACCAACUAUUCAACAAAAAAAAAAUAACGGAUGCAUGACCUUGAUGGACGGGUAACUAGAAAACAUCAAAGCCACUGAAUCCACGGCAGAUAAAAUUGUACGGCAGCAAAUUAUCGUAAUGUCAUCUUUCAAACACAUUUCAAAGUCUGAAACUUUACAAAAAAAAAAAAGAGAAUAUUUACAACGAGUUUUUUUUGGACAUGUUUGUUCAAUGUCAUUGCUAGUCCACGAAGCUCUGAUCCAGCGCGGAUCUCUCUUCGCCACCCGACCCGCCGAGAAUCCGACCCGAACGAUCUUCAGCUGCGAUAAAUUCACCGUCAACGCGGCCAAAUACGGCCCCGUGUGGAGGUCCCUGAGGAGGAACAUGGUCCAGAACAUGCUCUCCUCGACCCGCCUCAAGGAGUUCGGGUCGGUGAGACGAUCCGCCAUGGAUAAACUCAUCGAACGGAUCAAAUCGGAAGGUAAAGAGCACGACGGUUUAAUCUGGGUGCUUCGAAACGCGAGAUUCGCCGCGUUUUGCAUUCUGUUAGAGAUGUGUUUCGGAAUCGCGAUGGAUGAGGAGUCGAUCGAGAAGAUGGACGAGAUGAUGAAGACGGUCCUGAUGACGGUGGAUCCGCGAAUCGACGAUUACCUCCCGAUCCUCGCUCCCUUCUUCUCCAAAGAGAGGAGGCGAGCUCUCGAAGUCCGCCGCGAACAGGUCGAUCUCGUCGUGAGCCUCAUCGAGAAGCGACGGAGAGCGAUUCGGAAUAAAACGGCGCCGUCUUUCUCCUACCUCGACACGCUCUUCGAUCUAAAAGUCGAGGGACGCGAAACGGCGCCGUCUAACGAAGAGAUCGUGACUCUCUGCUCGGAGUUUCUCAACGGGGGAACGGACACGACGGGGACGGCGAUCGAG
rnacentral:lncRNA from 1 species